rnacentral:rRNA from 1 species
AGCAGCCGCGGUAAUUCCAGCUCUAAUAGCGUAUAUUAAAGUUGUUGCAGUUAAAAGCUCGUAGUUGAACUUCGGGGUCUACCCAUUGGUCAGGCCUAAUUGUCUGCACUGGUGAGAUGGAUCUCUACCUUCUGAGGAACUUUCAUGCCAUUUAUUUGGUGUGAUUGGAAAUCAGGACUGUUACUUUGAAAAAUUAGAGUGUUUAAAGCAGACUAUCGUCUGAAUACAUUAGCAUGGAAUAAUGAAAUAGGACGGACUGAUUCUAUUUCGUUGGUUUCUAGGAUCACCGUAAUGAUUAAUAGGGAUAGUUGGGGGCAUUAGUAUUCAAUUGUCAGAGGUGAAAUUCUUGGAUUUAUUGAAGACUAACUACUGCGAAAGCAUUUGCCAAGGAUGUUUUCAUUAAUCAAGAACGAAAGUUAGGGGAUCGAAGACGAUCAGAUACCGUCGUAGUCUUAACCAUAAACUAUGCCGACUAGGGAUCGGACGAAGUUAAUUUUUUCAAUGACGCGUUCGGCACCUU